GAUAGUAAUUUUAUUUGCGUAUAAAUUUUGAAGCAUUAUGUAUAGUAGAGAGAAGCCAUUUUAAAGGGCCUACAGUUGCAACUUUUUCAAAAUUUUAAGACGCUGGUGGGGCAAAUUAGGGUUUUCACCCAUUGAGUGAAUGCGUUCGUCUCUUCACCUUCAUCACCCUUGUCUGGACUUUGAUAUUCCAGCCAAUUUUCAGAUCUCAUGAAUUUCCACAGCUUACCAGAAGAGAGCUUCAAAUAUCUCUGGAAACUGAACAAGAUCCCUGCUAAUAUCACCAAUGUCGCCGUGGCCGAUGCCCUCCAAUCUCUUCAUACCGUAAGCUGUUAUGUUUUUGUUUUCAUUUGAUUUGUUGAUUUGUAUUCUUCAUCGCAGCUGAUUGGUAAUUGAUUGGUUGAUUUUUUUUAUUGUAACUGGUUGGCAUUCUUUUCGAUCAACAAACCCCAAAUCUUCAUUCAUUAUUCAUGGUUCUGCAAAUCAAACUUGGAUUUCAUGAAGGUGAUCGAUCAGACCGUGCGUGAAAUAAAGAGAGAGGUGAAUUUGAAAGUAUUGAAGGUUCCUGAGAUCGAACAGAAGGUAAUAAUGUUAAGAAUAUGUGGUUUUAGGUUUAUAGAAAUGAAUGUGUACGUGUGUUGUAUGAGCAAUUGGGAGAUUUAGGGUUUGUAUUGAUGAUUGAUCCACUGGUGUGCUGGCAAUUGUAAAUUGGUUAAUUAGGUUAAUGUUGAUGUGAAUUUGAAC